AUCACCUAGGGAUCCUGUUAAAAUGCAGAUUCUAGUCCUGGAGGUCCAGGAUGUGACCCCAGAUUCUGCAUUUCUAGCAAGCUCCCAGGGGAUGCUAA
rnacentral:pre_miRNA from 1 species